rnacentral:lncRNA from 1 species
UCGACUUUUUCGAAAAAAGUGAUCGACUUUUUUCCAAGUCGCCAGCUAGGGAGUCUUGCGAGGAAAUCAGCCAGCAAGGGAUCAACUUUUCAGAAGAUCGACUUUUUCUUCCAAGGAAAAAAAAGUCGAUCCCUCAAGGAGCUAGGCUUUCAGGCAUCGACUUCCAAGGAAUCCUCCAAGUGCACUAGGGAUCGACUUUUUGAAGAUCGAC